UACAGAGGGGGCCAGCGUUAUUCGGAAUUAUUGGGCGUAAAGAGCUCGUAGGCGGUCUGUUGCGUCUGCUGUGAAAACUCGGGGCUUAACCCCGAGCCUGCAGUGGAUACGGGCAGACUAGAGGUAGGUAGGGGAGAAUGGAAUUCCCGGUGUAGCGGUGAAAUGCGCAGAUAUCGGGAGGAACACCGGUGGCGAAGGCGGUUCUCUGGGCCUUACCUGACGCUGAGGAGCGAAAGCGUGGGGAGCGAACAGG
rnacentral:rRNA from 1 species